rnacentral:rRNA from 1 species
UACGUAGGGUGCAAGCGCUGUCCGGAAUUAUUGGGCGUAAAGAGCUCGUAGGCGGUUUGUCGCGUCUGCUGUGAAGACUCAGGGCUUAACUCUGAGCUUGCAGUGGGUACGGGCAGACUAGAGUGCGGUAGGGGAGACUGGAAUUCCUGGUGUAGCGGUGAAAUGCGCAGAUAUCAGGAGGAACACCGGUGGCGAAGGCGGGUCUCUGGGCCGUAACUGACGCUGAGGAGCGAAAGCAUGGGGAGCGAACAGG